rnacentral:rRNA from 1 species
AUGAACGCUGGCGGCGUGCCUAAUACCUGCCAGUCGCGCGAACAGGCGAGGAGCUUGCUCCUCUGACGUUAGCGGCGGACGGGUGAGUAACACGUGGAUAACCUACCUAUAAGACUGGGAUAACUUCGGGAAACCGGAGCUAAUACCGGAUAAUAUAUUGAACCGCAUGGUUCAAUAGUGAAAGACGGUUUUGCUGUCACUUAUAGAUGGAUCCGCGCCGCAUUAGCUAGUUGGUAAGGUAACGGCUUACCAAGGCAACGAUGCGUAGCCGACCUGAGAGGGUGAUCGGCCACACUGGAACUGAGACACGGUCCAGACUCCUACGGGAGGCAGCAGUAGGGAAUCUUCCGCAAUGGGCGAAAGCCUGACGGAGCAACGCCGCGUGAGUGAUGAAGGUCUUCGGAUCGUAAAACUCUGUUAUUAGGGAAGAACAAAUGUGUAAGUAACUAUGCACGUCUUGACGGUACCUAAUCAGAAAGCCACGGCUAACUACGUG